rnacentral:rRNA from 1 species
CAGCAGCCGCGGGAAUACGAAGGGUGCGAGCGUUAAUCGGAUUUACUGGGCGUAAAGCGUGCGUAGGCGGCUUUUUAAGUCGGAUGUGAAAUCCCUGAGCUUAACUUAGGAAUUGCAUUCGAUACUGGGAAGCUAGAGUAUGGGAGAGGAUGGUAGAAUUCCAGGUGUAGCGGUGAAAUGCGUAGAGAUCUGGAGGAAUACCGAUGGCGAAGGCAGCCAUCUGGCCUAAUACUGACGCUGAGGUACGAAAGCAUGGGGAGCAAACAGGAUUAGAUACCCCAGUAGUCCCUGUCUCUUAUAC